rnacentral:rRNA from 1 species
UACGAAGGGUGCAAGCGUUACUCGGAAUUACUGGGCGUAAAGCGUGCGUAGGCGGUUUGUUAAGUGCAGGGUGAAAGCUCCCGGCUCAACUGGGAGAGGUCCUUGCAUACUGGCGAACUCGAGGGAGGCAGAGGAAAGUGGAAUUCCCGGUGUAGUGGUGAUAUGCGUAGAUAUCGGGAGGAACACCUGUGGCGAAGGCGGCUUUCUGGGCCUUACCUGACGCUGAGACGCGAAAGCGUGGGGAGCGAACCGG